AUACCUCCUAAAAUUACUUCUGAAAUAUUGUUUCAAAUUCUAGGAUCAACUGCUAUGAUGUAUUUGGGGCCCAGUCACCAUUCGGUGGCUACAAGAUGUCUGGGAGUGGCCGGGAGCUGGGAGAGUAUGGGUUGCAGGCAUACACGGAAGUGAAAACUGUCACGAUCAAAGUGCCUCAGAAGAACUCCUAAAGAACUCCACCAGCUCCCUCACUCAUCCAGCGACUGAGGUCAAGGACAUCAGCAGCAAAACCAAGAAAAAUGACGCUUGCACACGAAAAGUCUCAAGAGAGAAAUUUGCUCAUAGAAUCUCUUGAUCAAGAAAGUCACAGAUUUUGAAUUGGUAAAUGGGAGUGGGUGCAGGGCAAAGAGUACAGGGAGAGCCUUUUACCCUGCAACAGUACUACUGCUAGGUUUCAGGCUGAUUUUUCAAAACUAGAUUCAAAUGUCUUAUCUUGUCCAUCUGGUAUCCUUCUGUAACUUGCCCUUGUGGGGGAACAAAAAGCUAUUGUUUAUCCUUGUACUAACAAGUUGGGGCAACAACUAGUGCCUUCCUUUGUAUUCUGGACUAAAACUCAUUAAAAACAAUGCUGCUGUUCACUUUCUGGUUAACUUUUUGUCCAUCUCGGUAACCCAAGGAAAUCCCACCACAUAGGGAUGUCGUCCCGGUGUGUGUGUCACCCCUCCCCUCCUAUGGCGAAGUAGCUUUGGUUUCCUUUCUCUAUCCUGUCCACCUGUGGCAGGCCCUGGGCUAGAAACUGGGGAAGUUACCAAAACAGGACUCCCAGCCCCUGCCCUCAGAGGGGUCAGUCAACCAGGAAAGAGAGACACUUGACCUCCAAGGUUUAUUUUCCUCGUUUUAAGUUAAGAAACUUGGUCAGGCUAAAUAAGAUGGAUUCAAGCUGAUGAAUUUCAUGAGAUUAAUUUGGAAACCAGAUGUCUGUCUAUUCAUCUUAAAUGAGGUCUGCAUUUCCUGUAAUCAGACCUCAUGAAUCUCCUGUCCAGAACACUGCCUUAUUUUAGUCAAGGGACCUGGCAAGGUAGUAAUUAGGAUUAUAAGUAAAUUAGGAAUCCAAAGAUUCCUUGGUGGGCAAUGGAAUCAGAAAAAAGCUGAAUAGCUGUAGUAGUUUGUGAAGUCUGUGAUCAUGUUUGGGUCACAGAUGAACAAUAUGAUGAAAAAUUUGAUCCUUUCCUAAGGAAAAUACACUUGCUAUAUCAUUUUUGCAGACAGUGGCAGGGGAAGGUGGAGCAUACUGGCUGACCCUGGGCU
rnacentral:lncRNA from 1 species